AUUGAACGCUGGCGGAAUGCUUUACACAUGCAAGUCGAACGGUAACAGGUCUUCGGAUGCUGACGAGUGGCGAACGGGUGAGUAAUAUAUCGGAACGUGCCCAGUCGUGGGGGAUAACGUAGCGAAAGUUACGCUAAUACCGCAUACGAUCUACGGAUGAAAGCGGGGGAUCGCAAGACCUCGCGCGAUUGGAGCGGCCGAUAUCAGAUUAGGUAGUUGGUGGGGUAAAGGCUCACCAAGCCAACGAUCUGUAGCUGGUCUGAGAGGACGACCAGCCACACUGGAACUGAGACACGGUCCAGACUCCUACGGGAGGCAGCAGUGGGGAAUUUUGGACAAUGGACGCAAGUCUGAUCCAGCCAUUCCGCGUGCAGGAUGAAGGCCCUCGGGUUGUAAACUGCUUUUGUACAGAACGAAAAGGCUCUUCCUAAUACGAGGGGCUCAUGACGGUACUGUAAGAAUAAGCACCGGCUAACUACGUG
rnacentral:rRNA from 1 species